rnacentral:rRNA from 1 species
GUAAAAGUCGUAACAAGGUUUCUGUAGGUGAACCUGCAGAAGGAUCAUUAAAAAAAUUAUUAGAGUGCACUUUAUUGUGGCUCAAAAUAUAAUUCUCAACUCCCAACUUUUAAAGCCACUUUGUAUGAGGUUUUUCUUAUAACAAUUUGGCAAAUGUGAUGUGACUUUAAAUCAUAUUGCAUUAUAACACCCCCUUUUUCAACCAUUAUUUUACACAAGUAUGUUAAGAAUGUAAAACCUUUAAAAUCAAUAUAACUUUUAACAAUGGAUCUCUAGGCUCUCACAUUGAUGAAGAACACAGUGAAAUGUGAUAAGUAAUGUGAAUUGCAGAAUUCAGUGAAUCAUCAAAUCUUUGAACGCACCUUGCGCCUUUUGGUAUUCCAAAAGGCACACCUGUUUGAGUGUCAUGAAACCCUCUCACCAAUUAACUUUUUCAUUAAGGUUUUUUAGUGGAUGUUGAGUGUUGCUGUUUUAUAUAGCUCACUUUAAAUACAUAAGCUCCUUUUAUCAUUUGAUUUGGAUUGACUUGAUGUGAUAAAAGAAAAAUCUUCAUCAAGGAAGUGUGUAUGUUGUAUAUACAGCCAGUCAUUUUCUGAUAAAGAGGGCUACCAAACCCCAAGAAGAGUUUUUCAUCUUUAAAGUGAAAGAUUCUACUAUAUCUUUUAAGACCUCAAAUCAGGUGGAAUUACCCACUGAACUUAAGCAUAUCAUA